GAUGAACGCUGGCGGCGUGCCUAAUACAUGCAAGUCGAGCGAACAGACGAGGAGCUUGCUCCUCUGACGUUAGCGGCGGACGGGUGAGUAAAACGUGGAUAACCUACCUAUAAGACUGGGAUAACUUCGGGAAACCGGAGCUAAUACCGGAUAAUAUAUUGAACCGCAUGGUUCAAUAGUGAAAGCCGGUUUUGCUGUCACUUAUAGAUGGAUCCGCGCCGCAUUAGCUAGUUGGUAAGGUAACGGCUUACCAAGGCAACGAUGCGUAGCCGACCUGAGAGGGUGUUCGGCCACACUGGAACUGAGACACGGUCCAGACGCCUACGGGAGGCAGCAGUAGGGAAUCUUCCGCAAUGGGCGAAAGCCUGACGGAGCAACGCCGCGUGAGUGAUGAAGGUCUUCGGAUCGUAAAACUCUGUUAUUAGGGAAGAACAAAUGUGUAAGUAACUAUGCACGUCUUGACGGUACCUAAUCAGAAAGCCACGGCUAACUACGUG
rnacentral:rRNA from 1 species